rnacentral:rRNA from 1 species
AGUAACACGUGGGCAACCUACCUCAUAGAGGGGAAUAGCCUUCCGAAAGGGAGAUUAAUACCGCAUAAGAUUGUAGUACCGCAUGGUACAGCAAUUAAAGGAGCAAUCCGCUAUGAGAUGGGCCCGCGGCGCAUUAGCUAGUUGGUGAGGUAACGGCUCACCAAGGCGACGAUGCGUAGCCGGACUGAGAGGUUGAACGGCCACAUUGGGACUGAGACACGGCCCAGACUCCUACGGGAGGCAGCAUG